CCAGAGAAUUUAGCAGAGAUGCUUUAGUGCCUUCGGGAACUCUGAGACAGGUGCUGCAUGGCUGUCGUCAGCUCGUGUUGUGAAAUGUUGGGUUAAGUCCCCGCAACGAGCGCAACCCCUAUCCUUUGUUGCCAGCGAUUCGGUCGGGAACUCAAAGGAGACUGCCGGUGAUAAACCGGAGGAAGGUGGGGAUGACGUCAAGUCAUCAUGGCCCUUACGAGUAGGGCUACACACGUGCUACAAUGGCGCAUACAAAGAGAAGCGACCUCGCGAGAGCAAGCGGACCUCAUAAAGUGCGUCGUAGUCCGGAUUGGAGUCUGCAACUCGACUCCAUGAAGUCGGAAUCGCUAGUAAUCGUAGAUCAGAAUGCUACGGUGAAUACGUUCCCGGGCCUUGUACACACCGCCCGUCACACCAUGGGAGUGGGUUGCAAAAGAAGUAGAUAGCUUAACCUUCGGGAGGGCGUUUACCACUUUGUGAUUCAUGACUGGGGUGAAGUCGUAACAAGGUAGGCGUAGCGAG
rnacentral:rRNA from 1 species